AGCAGCCGCGGUAAUUCCAGCUCCAAUAGCGUAUAUUAAAGUUGUUGCAGUUAAAAAGCUCGUAGUUGAAUUUCGGGAUCAAUAUGUUGGUCGUGCCUUUGGUACGUACUAGCUUAUUGAUUUCUCCCUUCUGACGAACCAUGAUGUCAUUAAUUUGGUGUCAUGGGGAAUCAGGACUGUUACUUUGAAAAAUUAGAGUGUUUAAAGCAGGCUUACGCUUGAAUAUAUUAGCAUGGAAUAAUGAAAUAGGACGUUUUGAUUCUAUUUUGUUGGUUUCUAGGAUCGACGUAAUGAUUAAUAGGGAUAGUUGGGGGCAUUAGUAUUCAAUUGUCAGAGGUGAAAUUCUUGGAUUUAUUGAAGACUAACUACUGCGAAAGCAUUUGCCAAGGAUGUUUUCAUUAAUCAAGAACGAAAGUUAGGGGAUCGAAGACGAUCAGAUACCGUCGUAGUCUUAACCAUAAACUAUGCCGACUAGGGAUCGGAUGAUGUUAAUUUUUAAUGACUCAUUCGGCGUCCG
rnacentral:rRNA from 1 species